AGUAAACCGUAUAGCUUCAGUUUAGCAAGUGCAGGCGCGGAGCAGUUUCAGCAUAUCUGACAACAUUUCUUCCAUUCAAGUUAGGUCAGUUUCUCCUGCGAUGUCAUUGGCUGGUCGGAAAUGUGGACUACAAGUCAUCCUCUGCUGGUACCCGCAUAACACAGAAUGAUGACCGACCUCAUCCGAAGAGUUCAUGUUGAAAACUGCUGUACCGUGAUGUUGCUUAAAUAAAGAGCAAAUUCUCUGUGCUUACUAUAUGUGUUUGUAGUACUCAAAUAUUCAUGUACUUUCCAUCUCAACCACGUCCAUGCAUUUGAAAACUUUUUUUUUUU